rnacentral:rRNA from 1 species
CAUGAUGAUGAGUCUCUGUACCAUGCUUUAAUCAAAUGUGAGCAUGCUCUGUUGUUCUGGAGGGAAGCAGAUGGAUUUUUCGAUCUCAAACUACCACAGCUGCACCCAUUGACGUGGUCGAGAGAUCUUCUGGAUGAAAACUUCAUGAGCAAAGACAAAGCAGCGAUUGCAAUCUCAGUUAUGUGGGCCAUUUGGAGCAGCAGGAAUAAAUACACACAUGAGGAAAUAAAGUUCCAGCCUUCACGGUCUAUGGAUCUCAUUCAGGAACUGAUUCAAGCACUGCAUGUGCCCGGCAUGCCAAGCUCGGGUGUUACUCUCUGUAAGGCAAAGUGGCAUCCACCGGCAGCAGGGACUAUCAAAAUAAACACGGAUGCUGCAGUGGAUGUAAGUGAGAGAAGAUCUUCUUUAGGAGUUGUAGCUCGUGAUCAUCUGGGAACCUUUGUUGCUGGCCGUUGCUCGAAGUUCCCAGGGGUCACCGAUGCGCUACGUUGCACCGAUACGGCGCGAUACGGCGAUACAAGUACGGUGAUACAGGAUACGCAAUUUCUAGAAACAUCAAUAUGCGAUACGGCGAGUAUAUAUAUAUAA